AGCUUUGCACAAUGGCAAGUAUCAUAGCCAAUGAGGUUUAUCUGAGGCAUGACUAUUGCUAAUUGAAAAAUUUUCCCAAUACCCCACUGUGAUGACUUGCAACAUAGUCAGCACUGACAAUUUUUGACAGUCUAUACAAAGA
ensembl:snRNA RNU4-42P RNA, U4 small nuclear 42, pseudogene